GCCCGCAAGGGGAGCGGCAGACGGGUGAGUAACGCGUGGGAACGUACCUUUUGCUACGGAAUAACUCAGGGAAACUUGUGCUAAUACCGUAUGUGCCCUUCGGGGAAAGAUUUAUCGGCAAAGGAUCGGCCCGCGUUGGAUUAGCUAGUUGGUGAGGUAAAGGCUCACCAAGGCGACGAUCCAUAGCUGGUCUGAGAGGAUGAUCAGCCACACUGGGACUGAGACACGGCCCAG
rnacentral:rRNA from 1 species